AGUGAACGCUGGCGGUAGGCCUAACACAUGCAAGUCGAACGGCAGCACAGUAAGAGCUUGCUCUUACGGGUGGCGAGUGGCGGACGGGUGAGGAAUACAUCGGAAUCUACUUUUUCGUGGGGGAUAACGUAGGGAAACUUACGCUAAUACCGCAUACGACCUACGGGUGAAAGCAGGGGAUCUUCGGACCUUGCGCGAUUGAAUGAGCCGAUGUCGGAUUAGCUAGUUGGCGGGGUAAAGGCCCACCAAGGCGACGAUCCGUAGCUGGUCUGAGAGGAUGAUCAGCCACACUGGAACUGAGACACGGUCCAGACUCCUACGGGAGGCAGCAGUGGGGAAUAUUGGACAAUGGGCGCAAGCCUGAUCCAGCCAUACCGCGUGGGUGAAGAAGGCCUUCGGGUUGUAAAGCCCUUUUGUUGGGAAAGAAAAGCAGCAGGUUAAUACCCCGCUGUUCUGACGGUACCCAAAGAAUAAGCACUGCUAACUUCGUG
rnacentral:rRNA from 1 species